CUCCGGGCAGCGGCGUCGCCUUAGAGAAGGGCGCGCUCUGGGGCAGUGAGCGGUGUUUGCGUGGAGGAGCGCCAUGGGCAUGGAGGGAAGGGACCAUGAGGACUAGGGGUGCCCGGUGGGCAGCUCCCGGAGGUUGGCCUGGCCUCAGUGAAUCCAGAAUACAUAGGCUCUGCUUGGGAGCCGGAAUUUUGAUAGAGAUUAUGUUGAAUGCUCGCAGGACCGGCUGCAUCCUUGGCUCAAGGCCCUUCCUUCAAAGACCAGCAGCAGCAGAUCCUCCUAAGUCACACCUCCCUGACCUUUCUCCCAUCCUUGAAUCCCUCUCUCUCAGCCAGAAACGUGCUCUUCUUAAGGAUUCAUGAGACAAGACUGAAUUCACCUGGAUAACCCGGCUAUGCUCCCCAUCUUAAGUGCACAUACCCUUUGUCACACUUGCGUGUGAGCUAACAGAGUCACAGGCUCUGCGGACUGGGGCUUAGACAUCUCUGGUUGGCUGUUGUUCAGUAGAUCACAGAGAGCAAGGAGUUGGAGAUGUAGGGAAGCACAUGCAGUCCUUGGAUGUUCUGGUAUCCAGUCCAGCCCUGGCAUGAGCGGGGAACUGAGUCCAAGGCACUAAAUUUACUCUCCCGCUUUACUUAGUUAUAAAAUGAUAAAACCACCUGCAUCUCAGGGUGGUUGGGAGAAUUAAAAAGACCAAGUCUUAGAAGGCAUCUGGCCAGUGUGUGGGCCAAGUCAUGUAUUCCAUAAAGGCUUCUUGAACCUACAGGAAUAACAUAUGAGAGAGCUCUCUGAAAACCACAAACACAAGGCAAAUCUAAGUUAUUAAUAUUAUAGCAAACUUGGACUGGCCUAAUGGGUAAAGAAGAAUACUGAUUUAGGAUUUUCAAAAGGAUAGUUGCUUUACAAGCUAUUUGAUUUACCUUUUG